rnacentral:rRNA from 1 species
GGAGUCUGGACCGUGUCUCAGUUCCAGUGUGGGGGACCUUCCUCUCAGAACCCCUACCGAUCGUCGCCACGGUGGGCCGUUACCUCACCAACUAGCUAAUCAGACGCGGGUCCAUCUCAUACCUAUAAAUAUUUUCACACCAGAUCAUGCGAUCCUGUGCGCUUAUGCGGUGUUAUCAGUCGUUUCCAACUGCUAUCCCCCUGUAUGAGGCAGGUUACCCACGCGUUACUCACCCGUCCGCCACUAAGUUUAACAAGAAUCUGCCGAAGCUUCAUCAGCGUUAAACUCCGUUCGACUUGCAUGUGUUAGGCACGCCGCCAGCG